CUGAGAAGACCCACUAUGUGGGUAGAGCAUGCCUCCAAAACUGGAUUGACGGACAGGUUGCGUCCUAUUACUAUUGAGGACGUGGGGCCCCCCACGUAAAAGAGUCACCCACCAGGCAACAGCGGUGCAGACAUGGAAGAGGGCAAAAGCCCUGACAGAUUCUUCCGACUCUGGUUCAGCUUCUGACGAGGUCUCGGAUGAUUCCGAUGGGAUUGGCUCUAUUGAUUCGGGUAACUCGUCUCCGGACUGCCAUCUUUGAACCACAGGGAAAACCCCUUUUUGACCCCGAUGCCCUGCAAAACUCUAGAUCGGCCAAAUGGUACCCGACCGAUCACGUGGCCCAGUAUAUCGCGGCUAGGAUUAGGAAGCCCCUAGACAAGGCCACGAGGAAUAAGCUUUGGGCAGAGUGCCCACGUCCUACGCUCCCCGAGAUAGCCUGUGCCACACCAUACGUAGACCCUAAGGUCGCCCAAUUCGUGGGCAAAUCAGGCUGGAUUACUUAGCUGAAGCCACAGCAAAGAAAGAGGCUCGACUAUUCCCCACAUCACUGCCAAGACAAGGUGCUUGACAUAUUAGGCCCUAAAGCCCAAAUCUUCGUCAUGAUCGAGGCGGCCUUAACCGACGACGCGCCAGUUUAUCUCUUGGCCAUCAGGGGUUGGGUCUAUUUGUUUGAUAGGCGACGCUAACUCCGCGUUGGCCACUGAAGGCGAAAGUCUAUCCUCAUGCAGAUCGAGCCUAAGCUCGUUAACCUGGCAAUAUCUGAGCCUGGACCGCAGGCAACAGGUCUCCUAUUCGGGGACAAUUUUGUUAAAGAAUGGGGUACCUAUGUUAGUACCUUUAUAGCACUGGACAAGGCACAGACAAACAUAAAGAGAGUGUUCUUGGGGGGGCCGUCAGACAUCGGGGCUGUCUGCCCAGUCGUUCCUACCGGGGUUACCGAGGCUCCGCCACGCCUAGAUUCCAGUCUACAGAGACAAAGUACCCUUCGCCCUUCUUCCUGGUCAGGUGCGGAUCGUGGCAGUCCCGAGGGACCAGGGGUACAUCGUAUGGCCGACUGCCUUAUGGUGAGUGUUCUAUCAUCCCGUCCCCCUUCUAUGUAAUUUGUGGGGGGCAGACUGUCCCAUUUUUUUCGAUGCCUGGCACAGACUGACCUCCAAUGUUUGGGUCCUAAACACAAUCCUAGGUUAUCGUAUCGAGUUUGUGCAGCACCCAGUCCAAACCUUCGUGCCUAGUACACCUCAGGCGCUCUUGGAUGUCUUUGGUUCCCAUAGCCCCAUUCUGGACUGCACAA